GUGGGAGGAUCGCUUGAGCCUGGGAGGUUGAGGGUGCAGUGAGCUGUGAUCAUACCACUGCACUCCAGCCUGGGUGACAGAGCGAAACCCUGU
rnacentral:miRNA from 1 species